AGCGAACGCUGGCGGCAGGCUUAACACAUGCAAGUCGAGGGGAGCGGCAGACGGGUGAGUAACGCGUCGGAACGUACCUUUUGGUUCGGCACCACACAGGGAAACUUUUGCUACUACCGGAUACCGCAAGAUCGGCCCGCGUCUGAUUAGCUAGUUGGUAGGGUAAUGGCCUACCAAGGCGACGAUCAGUAGCUGGUCUGGGAGGAUGAUCAGCCACAUUGGGACUGAGACAAGGCCCAAACUCCGACGGGAGGGAGCAGUGGGGAAUAUGGGAUGAUGGGGGCAACCCGAAUCCAGCCAGGCCGCGUGAGUGAUGAAGGCCGUAGGGUGGUAAAGCUCUUUUGAGCGGGAAGCGGUACCGCAAGAAUAAGCCCCGGUUAACUUCGUGCCAGCAGCCGCGGAAUAC
rnacentral:rRNA from 1 species